UGGGGAAUCUUGCGCAAUGGGCGAAAGCCUGACGCAGCGACGCCGCGUGAGGGAUGACGGCCUUCGGGUUGUAAACCUCUUUCAGCUCCGACGAAGCGAGAGUGACGGUAGGAGCAGAAGAAGCACCGGCCAACUACGUGCCAGCAGCCGCGGUAAUACGUAGGGUGCAAGCGUUGUCCGGAAUUAUUGGGCGUAAAGAGCUCGUAGGCGGUCUGUCGCGUCGGCUGUGAAAACUCGGGGCUCAACUCCGAGCUUGCAGUCGAUACGGGCAGGCUAGAGUUCGGCAGGGGAGACUGGAAUUCCUGGUGUAGCGGUGAAAUGCGCAGAUAUCAGGAGGAACACCGGUGGCGAAGGCGGGUCUCUGGGCCGAUACUGACGCUGAGGAGCGAAAGCGUGGGGAGCGAACAGGAUUAGAUACCCUGGUAGUCCACGCCGUAAACGUUGGGCGCUAGGUGUGGGAUCCCUUCCACGGGUUCCGUGCCGCAGCUAACGCAUUAAGCGCCCCGCCUGGGGA
rnacentral:rRNA from 1 species